UAUCAUCACCAGGCCCGCCAGUCCCGUACUCUAGUAUCCCGUCUAAUCGGUGGUGAUGGAUUGUUCCGCUUGGAAAAGGAAUGAUCACCAAGAGUGGUAAUCGGAAACUGGUUUUGACUGCCAGAAAGGCUCUACUUUGCCAGAAAAGCAUUUCCGACGUGUUAUCUGUUAAUCGAGCACAAAGAAAGGGAGCUAAAAUGGACCAGGCAGAAGAGGAUCGAACGGAAAAUCAAAAACGCGAACAGAAAAUGUGCGAACAAGAUUCUACACAAUCAGAAUUCACUUAGGUGUAAGGAGUAUCUUUGGUCCCCUGGCCAAUGUCGACCGUAAUUCUGCGAGGCCAUCAGCUGGAUGAAAAAUUAUACCUAAGUAGCUGUAACCUUUUGUAAACUUGAAGCAUUUGUGGCGGCCGAAAUUCGACUAGCACAAAAAAAACUAUCUCUGCUUGGGCCAUAUUCGGUUUUACCGGUUCAAUUAGCAUCCUGACAGGAGAACAACAACUAUUUGGAGCAGAUGAAACUGCCGAUCCAAAGGUACCAAAAAUUAGCUAAUUAACCACAACUGGAUAACGGUGGUUAUGUGUUCAUUUAACUUAUGUCGGCAAUUACUUAACAGCGCUACAUUUGAAACCUGUUUUGGUGGUCCCGCAAUCAUAAAAUGGUUGGUCGGUCAUAAGAUCCCAUCCUGCUGCUGACAGUUAAGUCUAACUACCACCGUAACUGUACUUUAGAAAUGGAACUUGCUGCCAAACACAACGUUUAAACAAUUUUUUUUAAAAUAUGUAUUAAUCAAUUUUACAAUAUUACUCAAUCUACGGAAAUAGGUUCUUGAAUGGAACCACAAGAUCAGAAUAUCUCUUGUUAACGAAACAAGAAUUUUAAACUUUCGAAGAGUUUAUCAGUAAGGCCCAAGUGAAGAAUAGGUUCUCGUGUGAACUCUUGAAGCAUGAAAACAAAUAGGAAAUUAAGGUUAUUUUUACAUAGUAUUAAAGUAAGGUAUCGCUUAUAAAACCCGAUCAAGUAAUAUGUUCAGUAAUUUUUCAGUAGACAGACCCAAAGCUAUAGCUAAGCCUCAGAGUAGUCUUUUAUUUAACAAGUAUGCAUACUGUUGUUUUAAAAAAUACUUAAUUAAUCCAGCGAUUGAAUUGUCUAAAUUGUCUAAACAA